rnacentral:rRNA from 1 species
GGAAAAUAAUGAUACUACCUUACUAUAAGUGUUGUCCAAAUCUGGUGCCAGAAGACUCGGUAAGGCCAGAAACGCGAACGUUAGUCAUCUUAAACAGGCGUAAAGGGUUAGUAGGCAACUUUGAAAUCCUAAAUUUUUUAAAAAUAGCUCUUAAAGAGAGGGAAACUAAAAGAUAGAAUCUAGAGUAGGAAAAAAUAAAAUCGAGAAUUAGGGUUAAAAUCUGUAAAAAACUUGAUAGAAUACUAAAGGCGAAGGCCUUUUUCCAAUAAAGAUUGACGCUGAGGAACGAAGGAUAGAAUAAGAAACAGGAUUAGAUACCCUGGUACCUCUAUCUGUAAACGAUGAAUGGUAGUCACUAAAAAAUAUUAGUGUCAAUGUUAACACGUUAACCAUUCCGCCUUGUGAGUACGAUUGCAAAAUUGAAAACAAAAAAAUUAGUCGGUCUCGAAGCAAACGAAGUGAAGCAUGUUAUUUAAUUCGUAAUCCCGCA